CGGAUAGCAUCUGGCUGCUUGGUUCUACUGCUGAUACAGCUCGCGUUACCUUGGAUACAGGUAACAGCCGCACUUCAUGUAGCCAGAAGCGUGAGAAGUUACUUCUAUACAUCUGAAUUCUAUCUUUGGCAUCAUUUUGUACACCAUUUGGCAAGCCGUAUAGUAGGUCAUAAAACAUUCUAAACACAUUGUUUCCAAAUUUUGUGAGAGGGAUACUGUAAAUGGACAGCCUCCUCUACUAUUACUUUUCCUCAACGUAAGCAGUUGAUACCAGAGCUAAUUUUCAAAUUUUGGCAGACCUGUGUACUUGUCGACAUGCUCCUUGUAGAGUUGCACCUGCCAGAAGGGCAACCACACGCAAUCGCUGGGGGAACAACAAAAAUAACAUAGCAUUAAUACUGAAAAAAAUCUGUUUGAAUUGCAGUCUCUGAAAUAGAAGGAAACAUCAGACUUCGAUAUCGAUAUUUAAAAGAUGCAGGUUGCUGGUCUGAAAGGACACACGAUACGAGACUGCUAAUAAAAUGGUAGUUAACAGCCAUUAUGCUUCAUCAAUUAUCUUCAUGCUGAUUGCUGCGAAAUAUCACUAUGCAAAUACAAAUUGUUUAUAACAGAGUAAAUUAGAUUUUGUAUACUGUCAUUUUAAAUAAAACACCAACACUUUUAAUGAUAUACUUUAUCAACUAAAUAAUUGUGUAGUGUCUGGUAGAUUAAGCUGAGACGUUCCUCUCAAAACUCUAACACACAGAACAGAAGAAUAAUGAUUGUUAAGUUUUUGUUCUUUGUUUUAGAAAUAAAAUUAUCUGAGAUAUUAU